UCUGGCAAACUGCUGGUUAGUUUAUGUCAGCUUGACUCAAAAUAGUCACUUGGUUGUGAAGAGGAAAGAGUUGAGGCAUUAUUUUCAUCAGAUUGGCCUGUGGAACAGUUUCUUGACUAAUGGACGUGAAAGGGUCCCACAGCAGUUGGACCUUGCUUGUAAUAAAGCCAAUAAGCAUUCUCUGUGGCCCUGCUAGUUCUUGCCUCCAAACUCCUACUUGAAUUUCUUCUCUGAUUUCCCUCACUGAGGGAUGUGACCAGAGAGCUAGAAGAGGAACUAAAUCUCUUCCUCCCACAAGUUGCUUUUGGUCAGUGUUCAGAGUGUAAUGAGUUGUGGAAACAUGAAAGAUACCAUUGAAAGAAGAGAGACAUUAUGAAGUAUCAGAGGGAUACCAGGGAUGUUCUUGUGAUAUUUGGAUUAAGAAUCUACCUUUAUUGGGACAAAUAAUGAUGGUUAGCUGGGGAUGAAGAAUCAGUUGUGAUUAAUAAGACCAGCAUCAUCAAAGUGCAAUUUUCUGGAUAUACUUCCUAAAGGUCAGCACACAGACACUGCAGUCCAGAUGCAGUCAAGGCUAUCUCAAGCAGGAAACCUGACUUGGUAAUGUGUACCCCACAUAGUGGAACUGAUUGUGUAGGCAUGAACGCUGCAAGAUUUAAGAGGUCACAGAAAUGAGCUGAGAUUGAAACUGGAAAGAGCCAGGAGAGGCAGUAGAAACUCCAGCAUGCUGGAGAUGCUAGGACUGCAGGACCAUGUCAGGUGAGGAGUGGAGCCUACUUAAGCCUACCAGACAAGCUGUGAGUUGUGGAUGGCAGAGCCAGCCUGAGACAUGGAGCUGCCCAAGUCCCCUGGAGCCCGGAAGAUCAUGACCGCAGCUUCCUCUUUCACUAGCUGGGAGACCAUCUGGGCCUGCAGCGCGAUGGCGUCGUCAUUGGAGAAUGUUGUGUAAGCAGAAUACACAUGGUGGCUGCCCUGGAGACUCUACGCCUAGAUGGAUUUCUUGCACAUUCUUGAAGUUGCCACAAGCCAUCGGUAUCGCUUGUGUGCCUCCCAUGGUCUGCUUGGCACAUGCCUACUGAGGAGAGGUCAAAGGUCAUUUCCGGUUUUUGCAUUUAACCCUGUUUUGUGUGUUUAACAUCUUUAAAAAAAUUCUCCUUGUAGAUGGAGGGACAGAUCAUGGAGAUCCUUGUGGUGUGAGGGAGUGAGGUCCCAGCUGUCUUCUAGCACAAAGCCGCAGAGUAGGGGACGCUGGGAUUACCCAGGGCCUUUGCUGUCCACGGGAGGAGCCUUAGUCUGACAGGAUAGCACUGCUCUGGAGACGCGAAACCAGGAGAACUUACUCACCUCUCCCUGUGGCCUGCUGUGAGGUCUGUAAACCCUCCAGCACUCAGUCUAUAGCAGCAUCAGGAGGUGAGAGGCCGCUCCUUGCUCUCAGGGAAGAUAGCCAGUGCCGGACCAGGGGCUCACAGCACGAACUAGAGCCUUUCACAUAGCCUGAGCUCUGUCUGACAGAGAUUUGGGGAUCAUCUAGGGCGAAGAGGAAUGCUCACCUCAAACUGGAAGACAGGGGAAUUGGAGAGUCGCAUACAGACGGUGACUUUCCAUCACUUUUCCUGGCCAAGGGCUCUAACUAGAAGGGGGAAGCAGAAUUCAUGAGUGUCCUUGCUGUGUCUGCCCCAGAGGCUCACAGCUGCCUCCACUGGGGGUUCACGUUCUUCACUGCUUGGCUCCAGAGAGUGAAGUUUGUGAGGUGUGCGUUCUUUAGCCAAUUCAGCCUCAACAGGCUAAAUAGAAGGGCGGCUCAGUUUGAGGGAGGGGAAGGGAUGUGUCAGGCCUGAGCGUGGUGUGGCUAGUGUCCUUAGUGUCCCCAAGGCUGUUUUCCAUAAGAACGGGGGUUUAGAUUCUUCCAUGGGUGGCCACAGUAGCUAUGCAAGAAGGUCUCUGUGUGCCUCUCAUCUUUUUACAAGGCUCUGUCCUUCUGUAGAAGGACAGCUCACUAGCACCCAGGGAACCACAUAGGAGGGAACACUGGGGCUGGGCCUGGCUGGGUGUGUCUGUUGUCUCACAGGCUGGCAGGUUCUAGACACAGCCAAGUGCUUAGGAGAGAUUUGUUAAAUAAACAAGUUUCUAAACAGAGCCAAGUGUAUAUAAACACGUCUAGAACCUUCAAAGAACCAGAAGAAACAGCAACCAUUGUGCUGAAGUGGUGGACAUACACGUAUAAUUUUUGCCCAUUUAGAGUUUUUUUGCUGUGCAACUGGGUCCUUUACCAGCCAUUGAUAACAUCACAUCUCCCCUCCCCCCCAUUUCAACAGCGUUCAGCAAUAGUUUUACCCGUUCCUUGCGUUGAUUCAUUGUAUCUUUGGCACCUGGGACAGGAAACACCUGUCUGUCCAUGGCGGACUUCCUACAGCUCUAGAGUUCUUGUGCUGCUUUAAGCCCAUGUGGGAUUCUCACAGGAAGUUCCUGUCCUGACCUCUAGCAAGCAUUUUAAACCCCUUUGGGUAAUUUCGUGGAGAUUUUAAAUGGGAUAAAAAUACAUACUUUCCAGGCUGUUGUUAAGGAGGUAAGUAAGACAUAAAGUCUCGUUAACUACUUUUCAGCAAUUUCAAAAGCUAUUUGGCUAAUUAGGGUAAAAAUAUCAAGCUAAUUUCAUUAAGAUGAAAACCAUAUGGUCACCCCGAGAGAAUGUUUUUAUGGUCACCAGAGAGACGUGGCACACUAUCCCACACAGGGGUUUCCUUAAACACCAGCUAGUCCUCCCAGCUCAAGGUAAAGAGGUGGGCGGGUGUAAAUGGUCAAGGCUUGUCUCAGGAAGGCAGAGCCUGCUAUACCCAGAAUGCCUGCAUUUUAAUGCUCUGCACAGCUGAAGCGCAAUCUCACAUGCAGAGGCACGCAUAGCUGCAGCUGCUCUUGGAGCAGGUAAGGCUAUUCAAUCAUCGGGGACGCCACAAGGAAUCCAGGGCACUCCGCUUUCGCCCUGUGUUUCAAUGUGAGGUUUGAGGCCCCAGCAAGAGAAAACAGGGGAAUGCACAGGGACUCUGGGUGUCCAAAGUAGGGGAGGGGCCUCACCACCUUCAUUUAUACUUUCAGGUAGAGUCCCUGGCCUGGCUAUGAUUGGGAGAUCGGGGAGUGACACCUUCACAAACCUACCCAGUCCCCUUCCUGCUAGUGACAGAGAGCACGGGGCACCAAGAAGGGCUGUGGUAUAGAUAUAUUCCAGUCUCUUUUAGCUGUGCUUCCCGACAACCAUAACCUGGAGGCUGUUCACCCUCUAAGACAAUUUCAGCAGCAUCUCCCCCAUGGCCCACUAGAAGCAGCAUUCCCAUGUUCUUUCAAGCUUUUCAUGAAACGCUACAAGAAAGUCAGACUUGACUUAGAGCCUAUAACUGUGUUCCUACGCUCCAGUGCCAUUUAAGAUCGAGAGUGUAUCCCCCUAGCCUGUCGAAUAACCUUUUGAAUACAUUUCUGCCCUUCCCGCAAAGUUUACCUUUGACCUCUCUGCUCAGUGCCCUAGCUUUCCCCACAAGCUGACAUCACAAUUUCUUCCUUUGAGCCUUCUUUUUGUAGCCUCUGAAAAUUACUCUCAAUUGAGUAUGUUGGUCAUUUAUCUCAUGUUGACUCAAAUACUUUGGAAGUAGACUGAUUACGUAUGAAUAACAAAUGAUCUAAGUAGCUCCUAAUGUCUUCACACGUCUCAAGAAUUCUCUUUAAGCUUCUUAUUGAUUAUCACAUCAUGUACCCCAGUUCCAUUCAUCUCUCCGUCCCUUUGUAACUGCCCACUGCCAUUGCAACCCCCCUCUCCCCCACAAAGAAAAUAAGAUAGAAUUUAAUAAAAUCUUGUCAUGGAA